GACGAACGCUGGCGGCGUGCUUAACACAUGCAAGUCGAACGGAAAGGCCUGCUUUCCCUUGUGGAUUGCGGGUACUCGAGCGGCGAACGGGUGAGUAACACGUGAGUGAUCUGCCCCCAACUUGGGUAUAAGCCUGGGAAACUGGGUCUAAUUCCCGAUAGGACUGCAGGGUGGUGCCUGUGGUGGAAAACGAUUUUCUAGUGGUUGGGGAUGAGCUCGCGGCCUAUCAGCUUGUUGGUGGGGUAAUGACCUACCAAGGCGGCGACGGGUAGCCGGCCUGAGAGGGUGGACGGCCACAUUGGGACUGAGAUACGGCCCAGACUCCGACGGGAGGCAGCAGUGGGGAAUAUUGCACAAUGGGCGGAAGCCUGAUGCAGCGACGCCGCGUGGGGGAUGACGGCCUUCGGGUUGUAAACUCCUUUCGACCGCGAGGAAGCCACCUGGUUGGAAGGGUGGUGACGGUAGUGGUAGAAGAAGCACCGGCUAACUACGUG
rnacentral:rRNA from 1 species